UAACACGUAGGGUCCGAGCGUUGUCCGGAAUUACUGGGCGUAAAGCGCGCGCAGGCGGUCGGGUUCGUCGCUGGUGAAAGCCCCACGCUCAACGUGGGAAGGUCCGGCGAGACAGCCCGACUGGAGGCAGGGAGAGGUCGGUGGAAUUCCGGGUGUAGUGGUGAAAUGCGUAGAGAUCCGGAGGAACACCAGAGGCGAAGGCGGCCGACUGGACCUGACCUGACGCUGAGGCGCGAAGGCGUGGGGAGCGAACGGGAUUAGAUACCCCGGUAGUCCACGCGGUAAACGAUGUGCACUGGGUAUGGCGGGAGUUGACCCCUGCCGUGCCGGCGCUAACGCAGUAAGUGCACCGCCUGGGGAGUACGGCCGCAAGGCUA
rnacentral:rRNA from 1 species